UACAGAGGUCCCGAGCGUUGUUCGGAUUCACUGGGCGUAAAGGGUGCGUAGGUGGCGAGGUAAGUCGGAUGUGAAAGCUCGGAGCUCAACUCCGAAAUGGCAUUGGAAACUACCUUGCUCGAGGGUUGGAGGGGGGACUGGAAUACUUGGUGUAGCAGUGAAAUGCAUAGAUACCACCCAGAACUCCGAUUGCGAAGGCAGCCUACUGGCGGGUCACCGACGCUCAGGCACGAAAGCGUGGGGAUCAAACAGG
rnacentral:rRNA from 1 species